rnacentral:pre_miRNA from 1 species
UGAGGUAGUAAGUUGUAUUGUUGUGGGGUUGGGAUUGUAGACCCCAAUUAGAAGAUAACUAUACAACUUACUACUUUCCC